GCUAUGGGAGAAGCUGGUUUGCGAAUGCAACAGGCAUGGGGGAAAGCACCGAAACAUUGCACUUUGUAAGCACCACAGGUUAUUACUUAUGGUUCAACAGAAAAGGUGAAAGUUCAGGGGUUUGGAAGUUUGGGUCAGUUUUCUUAAAAAUAGACACAUUUCAG